AAUAAUCGAGAGAAACGAAAAAGAAAAAAAUAAUAACUCGGAGAUUCAAAAGAAGCACGAAAAAGGGCACUCGGAAAAAAAUAGAAAAAAGAGGAAACCGAGCAAAAAAGAAACAAACACAGUAGGUAACAUCGACUCUAAACCAAAAACCCACUUGGUUCCCAUUUUUGUUGGAAUAUCCAUACCCUAACCCAAGCCAAGUUACAACCCGAAAGACCGCAGAAGUGUG
rnacentral:lncRNA from 1 species